rnacentral:rRNA from 1 species
CCUACGGGGGGCUGCAGUGAGGAAUAUUGGUCAAUGGACGCAAGUCUGCACCAGCCAUGCCGCGUGCAGGAAGACGGCUCUAUGAGUUGUAAACUGCUUUUGUACGAGGGUAAAUCCCGAUACGUGUAUCUGGUUGAAAGUAUCGUACGAAUAAGGAUCGGCUAACUCCGUGCCAGCAGCCGCGGUACUACGGAGGCUUCAAGCGUUAUCCGGAUUUAUUGGGUUUAAAGGGAGCGUAGGCGGUUCGAUAAGUUAGAGGUGAAAGCCCGGGGCUCAACUCCGGCAGUGCCUCUGAUACUGGCGGGCUAGAGUUUAGUUGCGGUAGGCGGAAUGUAUGGUGUAGCGGUGAAAUGCAUAGAGAUCAUACAGAACACCGAUUGCGAAGGCAGCUUACCAAACUACGACUGACGUUGAGGCACGAAAGCGUGGGGAGCAAACAGGAUUAGAUACCCGUGUAGUC